UUGAAUGGCCUCAUGGCCUUCAACCCUUAUACCCUCGUGGAGACGGAUGUGCCUUCGGCCCAUGUGGCCGAUCUUCAUGCCGUAGACGGUGUCUGACUGGAUUCUAAAAAUGAA
rnacentral:misc_RNA from 1 species